rnacentral:lncRNA from 1 species
UAAUCACAAGGGAUAAAGUUGUCAUUGGUUAUGCAAUCUAAAACUGCUCUUUUUGUUUCCUUUCAGUCACUGUGGAAGUGGAGCACAAAGCAGUCACUUUGGUUUCUUCAUCAGCAUUUUGAAAUGCCUGAUUGAACUGAAGAGAUAUGGGACACUGACUUUUAUCUACGUGCUAACAGACAUGGCUGUGCUGUGCAGCAAAAGUUCUUCAAAGGGGAUUGUGACAGCACUGGCCAGCACCAACCCAAAUACUGCAGAUGGAGUGACGUAGAGUCCUGGUGAGAAAGGAGGGAAGAGCACCCAGAUGUCCACAGCCAGCAAUCCUGGCUCUUGAGAUUACAGCUGAUGCAUCAGGGCAUCCAAGGAAGACUGGUGAAUUAGAGGAAGAUCAGAAAUUUUUGAAAGUUUUGAUCUUGGUUAUCAUUUACAUAGCAGAGGUGAAAACAACAACAACAAAAGGACAAGAGCAGCAAGAUUUAACUGAAAUUGAUCCCAAAGACAAGUCAUAAAGAAAAGGAAGGUGAAUUGCUGAGAAUAGAUGGUGAGGCACUGUAGCAGUGAGCCUUUCACAAAGAAUGUGAGAGAUGCUAAUCAAUACAGCCUUUCUGACAAAAACUUUUUGAAAAAUGGCUUGUGUGAUCUUCUGGUCUGUGAUGCUCAGAUUGGUUGGUGUGAUCAUAUAUGCCAGCAUGCCGUUAGUCCAUAUGACACAACUAGAAUUAUGCCUGAGGAGGUAGUAAAACAGGAUCAGCGGUCUGCUUGCAGCUAUCUGAAAGGGAAAAAGAGUAAGGAGUAAAGACUAUACAACAUCAUGCCUUAAGGCAAAAGGCGAAGAAAAGGAGCAACAUGCUGAGGGAAUUAUUUGGGAAGACACAGCGAGGAGAGCAUGAGAUAGAAGACAAGAGUAAAGGAGACAUGAAAGAUGAUCAGAAUGGCAGGCAAAAUCAAAGAUAAAAGAAUGCAGUUAUUUUUGUGAAAAUAAACAGCCUUAAAGACAGUUUCA